rnacentral:rRNA from 1 species
AUUGAACGCUGGCGGCAUGCCUUACACAUGCAAGUCGAACGAGUGGCGAACGGGGGAGUAAUAUAUCGGAACGUACCGAGUAAUGGGGGAUAACAAAACGAAAGAUGGGCUAAUACAGCAUAUUCGUCGAGCGCACGAUAACUGAUUAGCUAGUUGGUGGGGUAAAGGCCUACCAAGGCGACAAUCAGUAGCGGGUCUGAGAGGAUGAUCCGCCACACUGGGACUUGGACACGGCCCAGACUCCGACGGGAGGCAGCAGUGGGGAAUUUUGGACAAUGGGUGCAAGCCUGAUCCAGCCAUGCCGCGUGUAUGAAGAAGGCCUUCGGGUUGUAAAGUACUUUUGUUAGGGAAGCGUUACCUAAAGAAUAAGCACCGGCUAACUACGUGCCAGCAGCCGCGGUAAUAC